AGAGGGGUAGAGGAAUUGGUCAACUCAUCAGGCUUAUAACCUGAAAAUUGUAGGUUCGAAUUUUUUCCUUACCU
rnacentral:tRNA from 1 species